rnacentral:lncRNA from 1 species
UAUUUGAGGGUUGGCCUAUGUUGGCCUAUGAUGUAACAGAGAUUAAUUCCCGCUGUUUUGAGCAGUAUAGAUAUUAGUGGAGUGUGCUAAUAUUGUGGUUGUUGUUUGGCAUGAUAUAAUAUGCUUUUGUGAUAAAUUGUGUUGAUAAUGUGGAAUGGUAUACAUGAUGUUGUGAAUGUAUGCAUUUGUGAAUAGACUAUUCUAUGGCUUAGAGUGUGAGCAUGUGUCUAUUCUUGAUUAUCGUUGAUGUUGCAUUGCUAGGUGAU